AUUGAACGCUGGCGGCAGGCCUAACACAUGCAAGUCGAGCGGAUGAAGGGAGCUUGCUCCUGGAUUCAGCGGCGGACGGGUGAGUAAUGCCUAGGAAUCUGCCUGGUAGUGGGGGAUAACGUCCGGAAACGGGCGCUAAUACCGCAUACGUCCUGAGGGAGAAGGUGGGGGAUCUUCGGACCUCACGCUAUCAGAUGAGCCUAGGUCGGAUUAGCUAGUUGGUGGGGUAAAGGCCUACCAAGGCGACGAUCCGUAACUGGUCUGAGAGGAUGAUCAGUCACACUGGAACUGAGACACGGUCCAGACUCCUACGGGAGGCAGCAGUGGGGAAUAUUGGACAAUGGGCGAAAGCCUGAUCCAGCCAUGCCGCGUGUGUGAAGAAGGUCUUCGGAUUGUAAAGCACUUUAAGUUGGGAGGAAGGGCAGUAAGUGAAUACAUUGCUGUUUUGACGUUACCAACAGAAUAAGCACCGGCUAACUUCGUG
rnacentral:rRNA from 1 species